UACGAAGGGGGCUAGCGUUGUUCGGAAUUACUGGGCGUAAAGGGCGCGUAGGCGGCCUCGUCCGUCCGGCGUGAAAUGCCUGGGCUCAACCUAGGAAUUGCGCUCGAUACAGCGAGGCUAGAGUGUGGGAGAGGUUGGUGGAAUUCCCAGUGUAGAGGUGAAAUUCGUAGAUAUUGGGAAGAACACCGGUGGCGAAGGCGGCCAACUGGACCACAACUGACGCUGAGGCGCGAAAGCGUGGGGAGCAAACAGG
rnacentral:rRNA from 2 species